GUAGGGAAUCUUCGGCAAUGGACGAAAGUCUGACCGAGCAACGCCGCGUGAGUGAAGAAGGUUUUCGGAUCGUAAAACUCUGUUGGUAGAGAAGAACGUUGGUGAGAGUGGAAAGCUCAUCAAGUGACGGUAACUACCCAGAAAGGGACGGCUAACUACGUGCCAGCAGCCGCGGUAAUACGGAGGUCCCGAGCGUUGUCCGGAUUUAUUGGGCGUGAAGCGAGCGCAGGUGGUUUAUUAAGUCUGGUGUAAAAGGCAGUGGCUCAACCAUUGUAUGCAUUGGAAACUGGUAGACUUGAGUGCAGGAGAGGAGAGUGGAAUUCCAUGUGUAGCCGUGAAAUGCGUAGAUAUAUGGAGGAACACCGGUGGCGAAAGCGGCUCUCUGGCCUGUAACUGACACUGAGGCUCGAAAGCGUGGGGAGCAAACAGGAUUAGAUACCCCGGUAGUCC
rnacentral:rRNA from 1 species